CGAGUGGCGGACGGGUGAGGAACACGUGGGUGACCUACCCCGAAGUGAGGGAUACCGGCGAGAAAUCGCCGACAAUCCCGCAUAGGCUGCUCUUCUCGCAAGAGGGGGGCCGCAAAGCUUCUCGUCUCGAGGGGCGCUUUGGGAUGGGCCCGCGGCCGAUUAGCUGGUUGGUGGGGUAAGAGCCUACCAAGGCGACGAUCGGUAGCUGGUCUGAGAGGACGAUCAGCCACACUGGGAUUGAGAACGGCCCAGACUCCUACGGGGGGCAGCAGUGAGGAAUUUUCGGCAAUGGGGGCAACCCUGACCGAGCAACGCCGCGUGCAGGACGAAGGUCUUCGGAUCGUAAACUGCUUUUCUCUGGGAAGAGGCAAGGACGGUACCAGAGGAAGAAGCCCCGGCUAACUACGUGCCAGCAGCCGCGGUAAUACGUAGGGGGCGAGCGUUGUCCGGAGUUACUGGGCGUAAAGGGCACGCAGGCGGUCGCGUCAGUUUGGGGUUACAGCUCCCGGCUCAACUGGGAGAGCGCCUCGA
rnacentral:rRNA from 1 species